AGAGUUUGAUUCUGGCUCAGAACGAACGCUGGCGGCGUGGAUAAGACAUGCAAGUCGAGCGCUGAUUUGAGGGUAGCAAUAUUUUCAAGUCGGAGCGGCGCAAGGGUGCGUAACACGUGGGAAUCUGCCUUGAAGUGUGGGAUAACUCCGAGAAAUCGGAGCUAAUACCGCAUGUGAUCGUGAGAUCAAAGUUGGGGAUCGUAAGACCUGACGCUUCAAGAUGAGCCCGCGGCCUAUCAGCUAGUUGGCGAGGUAAAAGCUCACCAAGGCUAAGACGGGUAGCUGGUCUGAGAGGACGACCAGCCACACUGGAACUGAGACACGGUCCAGACACCUACGGGUGGCAGCAGUCGAGAAUUUUUCUCAAUGGGCGAAAGCCUGAAGGAGCGACGCCGCGUGGGGGAUGAAUGGCUUCGGCCCGUAAACCCCUGUCAUUUGCGAACAAAUUGACUCACCUAACACGUGUGUCAUUGAUUGUAGCGGAAGAGGAAGGGACGGCUAACUCUGUGCCAGCAGCCGCGGUAAUACAGAGGUCUCAAGCGUUGUUCGGAUUCAUUGGGCGUAAAGGGUGCGCAGGCGGCGUGGAAAGUUGAGUGUGAAAUCCCGGGGCUUAACCUCGGAACUGCACUCAAUACUCCCAUGCUAGAGGAAUGUAGAGGAGAGUGGAAUUCACGGUGUAGCAGUGAAAUGCGUAGAUAUCGUGAGGAAGACCAGUUGCGAAGGCGACUCUCUGGGCAUUUCCUGACGCUCAUGCACGAAGGCCAGGGGAGCAAACGGGAUUAGAUACCCCGGUAGUCCUGGCAGUAAACGGUGCACGUUUGGUGUGGGCGGGCUCAGACCCCGUCCGUGCCGGAGC
rnacentral:rRNA from 1 species